ensembl:lncRNA
UGAGCUCACCCGUGAUGUUAUUAAUUAUAAAUAGUAAUAGCAUUUAGCUAAUUCGUAUUGUGGUUUCUGUCAGCCGAGAGUUAUAAAAAUAUGACCACUUGUGUUACGUCAAUCUUUCCUCAAUUAGCGCUAGAACAAAUGUAGCCUACAUUAUCCGGUGUGGAUGAUUGUGUUAUCCUGUAGCUACUUCUGUGAAUCUCUGAACAUUGCAUCCAAAAAUAAACUGGUCACAUUCUGGACAUAACUUUGUAAGGACUGUGUUUGCGCAAAAUGUUUCUGUGAAAAAACAGCGUGGCCAGCUCAAAUGCUGAUUGUUGGGUCGAUCGAAACUGGACGUUCCAAUCAAGCGUUCUAGUCACACCGGUUUAAUCGUAUGCUACAGGGACCACUGUAGAAUGAUCACAUCCGUUUGUUGGUACGUGUGAAAAUGUUCAACUCUGUGAAGCAUUUAUUUGGGCUGAGGCUGGUAUCCUCUGCAGCAGAGGUAACUCUGGGUCUUCCUGUCCUGUGGCGGUCGUCAUGAGAGCCAGUUUUAUCAUAGCGUUUGAUGGUUAAUGCUAAUGCACUUGAAGAAACUUUCAAAGUUCUUGAAAUGUUCCGGAUUGACUGAACUUCAUGUCUUAAAGUAAUGAUGGACUGUCAUUUCUUUUUUCUUAUUUGAGCUGUUCUUGCCAUGAUAUGUACUUGGUCUUUUACCAAAUAGGGCUAUCUUCUGUGUACCACCCCUAACUUGUCACAACACAUCUGAUUGGCUCAAACGCAUUAAGAAGGAAAAAGAUUCCACCAAUUAACUUUUAACAAGGCACACCUGUUUAUUGAAAUGCAUUCCAGGUUACUACCUCAUGAAGCUGGUUGAGAGAAUGCAAAGAGUGUGCAAAACUGUCAUCAAGGCAAAGGGUGGCUACUUUGAAGAAUCUCAAAUAUAUUUUGAUUUGUUUAACACUUUUUUGAACCAGGCUUGUGGAGGUCUUGGCUGAUAUCUUUUGAUUUUCCCAUGAUGUCAAGCAAAGAGGCACUGAGUUUAAAGGUAGCCCUUGAAAUACAUCCACAGGUACACCUCCAAUUGACUCAAAUUAUGUAAAUUAGCAUAUCAGAAGCUUCGAAAGCCAUGAUAUAAUUUUCUGGAAUUGUCCAAGCUGUUUAAAGGCACAGUCAAUUUAGUGUAUGUAAACUUCUGACCCACUGAAAUUGUGAUAGUGAAAUAAUCUGUCUGUAAACAAUUGUUGGAAAAAUUACUUGGGUCAUGC